GUGUUUGAAUAUUUGGGAAUUGGGGACAAGUUUACCUCCCUCUUUCUUAAAUUGCUCUGUGUCUUCAUUGGCUUAUAUAUAAAUAUAUAUCUCUAAAAUUGGCUUGUACUUAUUACUUAGGCCUGUGCAAAAACCGUGAUAGCCUGACCCGCCCGAUAGACCGAUCCAGCCCACACAAUAAAUUAGGGUUAAAAUUAGAUGCGGGUUGGACGGGUUGUCUAUUGGACGAAAGCCACGAAAUCGUAGAACCCGUCCCACACUCUUUCUGCCUUUCUUCCUGCAAGAGAAAAAACCUACUCUCUCUCUCUCUCUCUCUCUCUCUCUCUCUCUCUCUCCAUAUGAUCGAUACUCCAAGAUCGUAUUCCUUCUCGCCCAUACUCCCCUCUUGAUUUUCUCUGGAUUUGAAGACAAUAUCGACUUGAUUUGAGCUUCAAAAGCGUUACUUUUGAUGGUACUCUUGCUAGCAAGAAUGACGGAAGUGGGAUCUCAAGGUAUGCCAGGAGAGGCAUUGAAGUUUCAACGUCAAUGAAGAUGGUGGAGAAUCUGAGAUGGGGCUAGAUAAGAUCAAUAACUUGCUGGGAGUCUGGAACAUGUUAUAGAUCAAAGUUUUUCUCAAUUGUUGAUCAUAUUCUCUUACUUCAUAAUGGGCCUAUAUACAAGUUCAAGCUAUCGCAUCAAGAUCUUGUAAGUAUUAGUGACAUGAUCGAUGGAUUCUUCAUCUAUCAAGGUGCUCUAUAAGGAGUUGGUUCUUGAAAUUUGGCAAUCGCAAUGCUACCAUAUGCCUUCUUGUUUAUUUUCAAGCCAAAAUUUGAAUUCAUUUGGAGUUAGUUAAUUGUUUUCUAAAACCUCCAUUAUGUUUAAAAUCUUCAUGAGCUUGAAGAGCCUUGAUUU